GCGGGGGUACCCGAGUCGGCCUAAGGGGCAGGACUUAAGAUCCUGUGACGUAAGUCUUCGUGGGUUCGAAUCCCUCCCCCCGCA
rnacentral:tRNA from 1 species